rnacentral:lncRNA from 1 species
GGGGGGCUCCUUCUCAGCUGGGGGGCUGGACAGGCUGAGCCUCAGGCUGGACGCACUGCUGAGAAUGCUCUUGGGGCAAGGCUCCACUGGGAUGCUCAGCUCAGGGCUGUCCUCAAUAGGCGGCUCCUUCGGGGUGCUGGGGGUCUCAUUUGGGGAUGCGGGGCUCCCUGGGCUCUGCAGAGGGUCGGGCUCAGCACAGCUCCCCUGUGCUCUCCACCCACGCCGCCCCUCGUCUGUCU